AGAGAACUUGUGUAAUCCUCCUAUUUAAAGAGGAUUUCUAUACUAAUAAAUUAUAGUAGAAUUAAGUAAGAAUCAAGGAAAGGACAACUCCCAAAAGUUGCAAGUUGUUUUCCCUGUUCUUCCUUCACCCUUUUUCAAUCGCACAAAAUAGGCAAACCACCUUUUGCUUCCAUUCCUUCCAAUGAUCUCUAUCAAUCAUUGACGUGAGCUUUGCCCGUGAACAUAACAUUUGUGUUCUGUUGUUGGGCAUAUACAAGGGCAAUAUCGAAAUCUUGCAAGUAGAAGUUUGGGCUCUUCAAGCUUCUAUACAAUCUAUACAAACAUCCUUCCAAAAAAUGGAGAUCAUAACAAACUUGGUCCAAACUCUUUCCAACACAGUUGACAACCUUGGCAAAAUGAUGGAAUCACUAUUAGCCAAACAAGGCAGAUACUCGUCGCCUUCGGAGAAAUCUACCAUCAUUUUACCACAAUACCACUUACUCCACUAGCCGCACCGAUCCUCACAUCCACACCAACAAGAUAAUACACCACAAACCCACUACACUAAGUUGGAAUUCUCAAAUUUUCCGGAUAAAGAGGACACAUUGGUUUGGCUACAUCGUUUAACUCUGUUUCGCUAACACAUAUAUGCUGGAGGAAGAGAAAGUAGGUACAAUUGUCUACGACAUGACUAAGACAACCUAGCUUUGGUACAUAAAACAGGAUCAAGAUGGCUAAUGCUUUAUUUGACAAACCUUCAAAAAUUGUGUACACUUUUUUUUCGGGCUAUCUUGAAGCUUUAACCCUCAUGUCGAAUUGGCAAAACUGAAACAAAGCAACUUGCAGUCUUGCACUUUGAGGAAUACAUUGACAAUUUCCAAAUGAUGUUGGCGAGGACAGACUAUGUCUGAUAUAACAAACGGAUUGAUUUGUUUACAAUAGGCUUAGCUAAAAUUCUCUAGAUCAAUGUUGAAAGAUGCAAACUCACAUGCUUAUUAGAUGAAGCAAGAGCUUGUGACUACACUCGCAGAACAUAGUUGUUGGGCAAUUUGGCAACACGACACCACUCUCCAAUGGACUAGUAUUCGUCUAGCAAUAUUAUCAUGGUAAAGCAACAACCCUUUCAAGCGCACACGCAUUAAGCAUUUCUCACCUGGCGAAAUGUUGGAAUGGAAAAAUGUGCAAAUGUUAUAAUCGUGAUGAUCCAUGAGUGAAUGGUCGUUGUUGCAAAUAAUUAUGCAUGCUAGGUUUUGAUGAAGAAAUGGAUGGGGUGCAAAUUGAACCUACAGUGCCGAAGUAAACCAUUCCCAAAUGUCCUAAUUUCAAAAUUUCAAGCUUGAGGACAAGCUUGAUAUCUGGGAGGCGAGUGAUGAGGUGAGACAAGAAGUCACUCAAGUUAGUGUAAGAAAAUUAGGAGAUUGAUUGAUCCAAAACAAUUAACAAUCUUUGAUUGAUUGCUAUUUGAAUUUGAUUUAUUUCCUUUACACAUGUCUAAUCAGUUUGGUAAGGAGCCUUGAUGAUUCUCCAUUCCUUUUUACGUUUUACUAAAUCUAUGUAAUCCUCCUAUAUAAAGAGGAUUUCUAUGCUAAUAAAUGUAUAGCAAAAAUUAAGAAUCAAGGAAAAGGAUAAUUUCCAACAUUCUAAGUUAUUUUUCCUGUUCAACCUCCUCCCUCUUCCUCUUUUUCAAUUGCACAAAACAGGCAAACCACUCUCACUUCCAAUGAUCUACAUCACCCGUUGAUGCGUGCUUUUGCCUAUGAACAUAGCACAAACUGAAUUGCAAAAUAACAUAAACAAAUCAAGGAAUACCUAAAACGGUUUCCUCCUCCUACAAGUUUUGCAACUUGCCUCCUCAAUAGUUAGUGGAUUAUUUCACUAAUUUCUUGAAGCCCCAUUUAUAAACUAUUACCAAGUACUAAGUAAAUCAUCAAUCAAAGAUUAUUUAAUCAUCCCAUCUCCGAAUUAAUGCUCAUUCUAGAUGCAAAUCAUGCAACUUGAUUAUUUCCGUCCAUUCCCAUUUUCUUUCCUUAUGUAGUUUUGGCCUUUAUGGGAGUAAAUACUAUCUUGGGUUCUCAUCCAUGUGGUAUUUGCCUUCUCAAAGUAUAUCAUUGUCAUUCGCUAGCAAACUAGCAUUAUCACAAGGCUAGAGGUGGGAGGCAUGUGUAGGUCACCUAGUUCAAUUCCUGAUGUGUGGAUGUCGGGCAAAUCAUCCUCAUGAUAUGAUCAUGGGUUAGGCCAAGCGUUACGGGCCUAUGCGGCAUUGAGGAAGUAGAUGGCAAAGCUUUGUCUCUCUACCUAUGGUGGCGACAGAGAAGGUUAUUAGGGAAUAAGAACUGAGAGUUGGCGGAAGAAACUUCCUUGAAUAAUUUUAUUCAAUUCCAACUUGUCUUCCAACUACAUAUUGUUGUCCUAUUUAAAGGGACUUCCUUUGUAAUUUGCUAAGGAAAGAAAGACAUUCGCCAAAUAUAAAGAAAUUCUCAAUAAUGCCAAUUGCAAUAAAAUAGUAAACUAAA